ACUCCUGCGGGAGGCAGCAGUGGGGAAUAUUGGACAAUGGGCGCAAGCCUGAUCCAGCCAUGCCGCGUGAGUGAUGAAGGCCCUAGGGUUGUAAAGCUCUUUCACCGGUGAAGAUAUUGACGGUAACCGGAGAAGAAGCCCCGGCUAACUUCGUGCCAGCAGCCGCGGUAAUACGAAGGGGGCUAGCGUUGUUCGGAUUUACUGGGCGUAAAGCGCACGUAGGCGGACUAUUAAGUCAGGGGUGAAAUCCCGGGGCUCAACCCCGGAACUGCCUUUGAUACUGGUAGUCUUGAGUUCGAGAGAGGUGAGUGGAAUUCCGAGUGUAGAGGUGAAAUUCGUAGAUAUUCGGAGGAACACCAGUGGCGAAGGCGGCUCACUGGCUCGAUACUGACGCUGAGGUGCGAAAGCGUGGGGAGCAAACAGGAUUGGAUACCCUUGUAGUCCCAUG
rnacentral:rRNA from 1 species